CUCCAGUACAGAAUUUAUAGGACAUCAUUGAAGUGUUGCUUCCCAUAGUCUGCAGGGUCCAUUUGAAGUUCACGUUCUUCAUCAUCUCUACCCCUCCCAAGCCCAGCCCUCUUACAGGAUGGAGUCCUAUUACUGCAAAAAUCCUUCAUAUUUCAAAGACAAACCAGGCUGUAUUUCUUAUUGCUUUAAAAUCUGAAGAAAUAAACAACAUGUUCAACAACAUAUUCUUCUGGGAAGGUUUCUAAUUGUACGCCUGAAUGAAAAUUGUCCAAAACAACAUUUUGCCCCCAGGAAAAAGGCCAGAAAGGAGAAUUUAAGGUGCUUUCUGGCCCAGCCC